AGACAUUGCCAAGAUUCCUCAGGGAUUUGCUCGAAACCUACCGAAAUUCCAAUUCUUUUCUUUUCAUAUUGCAACUUUUUUAUUCCUUCCUUUAGUAUCAAGCCUUAGUUUCCCGCCAAUUUCUAUCAGACAUUUAUCAUACUAGUAUCUUUAGGGCUUUCCCAUUCCUAGAAAUCUUGCUCUGAUAAUUCUGUUAAUAUCAUUCUAGCUUCUUCCCCAAUCAUGAGUUCAGAGAAUAUGUGACUUGUCUCUGAGAAAAGUGCGGCAUUUACUGUUUCUCCUGCGGGGAGACGUAUAAACCUUCCUCCACCCCGAGAAUUUGCAAGGCCAGUAGCCGAGAAAAAAAGCGGCAUAGAGCUAGAUUCCCACCCAUAUACCAGAAAUUAGGAUGGCCACUGUAGCGCCACAUCUAUAGCAUCAUAGGUGAAUCAGCAUCCUCAAAUGGCGCAUAAUGGAUAUGUAAACGGGGGAAGCCACGGAAACCUGAGAAGAAGGGUUUGUGGGAAAUGUGGGAAAUUGGUGAACAGAAAAAAUUGAUCAUACUGCAUUGAGUUCCCCUUCUUCAUCCAAACCCCACGAGGAAUAAAGCUGGUCGGCAACCUUAUCCCCCAUAAUCUUUCUCGCGGUGCUCUUCAUAUUAUCAUACCCUGUGGCCAGCACCACGAUAUCAGCAGCAAGUUUUGUCCCCUUUCCGUCGGCGAGCACCAGGCCAUCAGAGUCAAACUGUUCAAUUCCCCCAUCACUCUGUUUAACCUUUAUUUUACCGUCGACAAUCAAUUUGCUGCAUCCGACAUCGAUAUAAUACCCACCUCCACGAGUAAAAUAUUUCUUAAAAAUCCCUGCACCAUCACGACAAGCAUCAAGCUUAAAGCCAGCCCUCGUUAGACCCUCAAGCAUCGCCUUAUCCGCACCCUCGCGAAGCAUUUUCACGACAGAGACGUGUAAGGCGAACUGUACAGGUACAGGCAUGCUCUGUAUGUAGGUGUCGGCUUCGUCUGUGGGUGGGCCUGUUUCAUCAUACAUACCAGCUACAAGCGCGCUUACCCCAUGCUUCUGUGAGAUCACAAAGGUCCCGCGGCGCUGGAGCAUGGCUACCUCUGCGCCGUUCUCAUAGAAGUCUUGUGCAAUGUCGUGCCCGCUGUUCCCAGUACCAACAACAACAACUUUCUUACUCUUAAUGCCCGCGUGCUCGGAGGCGUCUUUAUAUUGCGAGCUAUGAUAUAUUUUACCCUUGAACUUCUCUUUUCCGGGGAAAUUGGGCAUUAGUGGUUCUCCCGAAUGGCCGGUGGCUAGGACGAUGUGAUGUGGAUGUACAGUGCAAGUAACACCAUCAUUCGAACGCACUAUCACCGACCAUGUCUUUGACUUUUCAUCGUACUCGCUUUUUUCAAUCUCCGUGUUGGUCCAUACAUUGAGCUCCAUCACUCUGGCAUAUUUUUCUAGCCAAUCUGCUAGCUUGUCUUUGGGCGUAUAGAGGGGCCAACCGGAUGGAAAUGGAAGAUAUGGCAUUUGAGAAUACUGAACCGGGUCAUGGGUGACCAGAGUCUAUAUGUGCAUGUUCAGCACGAUAUGGUCAUUUCAAUCCUUGGGAUCUGAGAUCCACAUACCCUGUAUCGCUUGCGCCAGUUAUCACCGACCCUGGAGUUUCGCUCAAUGAUCAGGGUCGGGAUACCUAGUUUACCCAGCCUCGCACCGAUCAUAAGCCCAGCCUGUCCUACACGGGCAUUUAGUUAACAUGCGUAUCACGCAAUCGCGGGCGUGGUCAAGAUAGGAAAAUAAAACAUACCUGCUCCAAUGACAAGAACUGUGGGUUCAAUAUCUGUGAAACUCUUCUUCUGACGAGGAUUAUCCACGAUGGCAUCUGAUCCUUUAUUAGGUAGAUUGAGGCCAGACAUUUCUUCAUAUCCCUUUAGCCCCUGCAGGACGAAACCGAGCAUAUACGCCUUCCAAAUAUCAUCGCUAUCGCGGACAAGCCUAAGCAUCCCAGAACCUUUUCCCGUCUCAGUUUCAAAAUCGAACAUAGUCUCAAUCCAUUGUAAUCCCAGUUUAACUGUUUUAAACUGCGGUUCGAACUGCCCAGAUUCCCUAGGGUGAAAUUUUUCGAACUUUGCUCUCUCCAGAUUCUCUUGGAAGUACGCAGCUACCUUGUAAGCACCGUUGAUGGUGCGAAGGUCCCACGAGAGAACAACCAUAUCGCGCAGCCAUGCAUCUGUGAGAAAGAGCUUUUGUAAAUCGGACACAUUUGCCUGAGCCAGUGAUGCGCGGAAUUUGUCUACCCACUCCACAACAAGUUUGCGGGGUUCAGCGGGGGGCUGCUUCUCUGGGACAUUGGGGAGAGAAACCGUAUGCGGCUCUGGUGUCUCCAUUUUGAGAUCGAUAGUAGCAAAAAGACCGUUAGAUAUCUAGAAGGACGAAAGAAACAAGGGUCCAGUUUGAGUAAAAGUUGAUGCCGGGGAAGUUGGAGAUGGAAGGGUCCAGAGGGGGAGACACCUACUGUUAACGGUUGACCGGACGCGAGAUGCAAGGACUCGUGUAACAAUUAUGCAAUAGUUUCUAAGUCAACGAAUUGCAAUGGUAUCAACUACUUUCCUUUCGAAAGCCAUGAAAACAACCAUGCAGUGCCAUGGGGAUGCUAAAAUUGAGCGAAAAGCUCAUUUGUUAGAACUUUUGAUACAAGUUUCAAAUGUCAGAAAUCUAGUAUGGAUAACAAUAUGGGAAA
rnacentral:sRNA from 1 species